CCAAGGGACGAUUGAAUUUUCUCAUUCCAUUAACAAAGGCGAGUAACGCCUUCUCUCAACAUUCAAUAGCCCAUGUUAUGAUCGCAAUAACGAUCAUUAACCCACUCUCUCCACUCCUUCGCAUUGAUUUCUUCAUACAGCCUUCCAUGUUCUAACAAAGUGGAGAUGCGUCUACUCCUAUUCUGGGAAACACGUAAUAAUGCAAAGAAAGUAGGAGAGCUUAUGGGGUUGACAUGCUCUUUGUCAAGGAGAAGACAGUCUACGCUCAUCCACCGACUGCAGAUGUUCAGAGACCGAUUCAGUGAAGUUUCACUCUAUUCGAUGAGUGGGUUCGACGAAGUAACAACAACUUCAAAGUUUGAAUUGCCUCUCCCCCCCCCCUCGCUAACUUAUACAACGAUCUCACGUCGUUUGGGUUUGCAUAUUCUAAAUCCAACGAUUCAACUUAUGUACAUAUUUUGGGUUUGUGUCAUUAAGUUGACAAUGCGCUGAUGACAGGUUUGUAAAUAUUUUAACUUAAUGCGACUUGCAAGGCAACCAACGUUUUAUGGCAACAGUUCAGAUUUACUCACCCAUUUUGUAUUUUGCAGGGAUGUCUUUAUCUGCCUAAGUUUAUUUGAUGGCUUAGCCUACGAAUUUCAUUUAAAAAAAUUACAUGUUUUGGUACCGAACCAAGCGUUGUUGUAGCUACAUCUAACUUCACCCACGCUCUGCAAGGAUCUCUCUAUCUGCCUGAGUUUAUUUGACAGCUUCACCUACGAAUUUCAAAAAAAAAUUCACCGGUUUCAAUGGCGAACUAAGGGUUGUUGUAGCGACAUACAGAAAUCCUAAAAUGGUCGGUUAUUUGCAAACGCAACCUCUCAGACGCAUAUAUGCUUUUACUCAUAAACAUAUGCAGAAAGGACAGUCUUACUAUGGGAGAAACUUGAAACUUGAAACUCUCACCGUCUCACAGCCGAAUGAAUUUAUCAUCACUGCAGCGCCUCAGACAAUCGACUUCGUAUGCACCGGCAAAGUUACUGGAAUACAAGCUGACAAAAGGUGGUGUUACAUAGGCUCUGCUCUAAGUGCACUAAAGAAGCUCCUGCGGGGUUAAUCUUCAUUCACAUGACAUGUGUGUGCUAACCCAAAAUGAUGUUACUUCACUCAGGUACUGUGUAAAGUUGUCCAUCUUAGAUGGGACCGAGGACGCGAAGAGAUGUCCAAGCUAACUAAAAGUCACCGCUGCGGAAGUGUGGUGAACUCAUGAGGAGGUAUUGAUGAUCAGCAGGCUAACGAGGCCCCACCUAUCAUCACUGAGUUAGUCGGAUGUACUUGCACUUUUCAGUUCAAGUUGAGUACUUUUAAUUUCACACCGAAGCAUCAGAGUUUCACAAUAUCAAGAAUUUUCACCGAAAGAGGUGGGACUCCCACAACCAAUAUGCAUGAACCCACCUCACUUGCCUCCACCUCUGCUGAAGUCGGCAACAAUAAUGCCAAGGAGACAUCGAGUGUUAAAGUCGCAGCAUUGGGGGAACUCCCUUACGUGGAUGUCUCCAAAACCGAUAAUCCUAAGCUCAAGAUAAACGAGCCUAGAAAGCCCGGACAGCCGUACUGAUUAGAUGAAUAUGGAAGCCUUAUAUUGUCAUGUUGCUGUGGUUUAUUUAUCAGUCAUUGCUUUUCUAUUUUGUUUUUUCAAACUAUUACAUAUGUUGGUUACAUUAAGCGCACUAUUAAUAUAAACAUAU